AAGUCGUAACAAGGUUUCCGUAGGUGAACCUGCGGAAGGAUCAUUAGUGAAAAUUUGGGAUGGGCGCGCGGCAGCACGCCAAUAAACUGAAUUAUGAAUAUGGUGCCGCGCGCCAACAACACCCCAUCUUCUCAAUCCACACACACUUGUGCAUCGUACGGUUGAUCAGGAUCAUGGCGUUUUCGGCGGCGGGAUCUCUCGCGGGAUCCCGGGCCGGAUCGCCAUGUUCAUACUCUUCUACACACACUCUACUUUACCAUUAUUAUUUCUAAUCGAGGUUACGACCUUGCAUCAAACAACAUUUAUACAACUGUUGGCAACGGAUCACUCGACUCUU
rnacentral:misc_RNA from 1 species